GGUUAAGAGCACUGACUGCUCUUCUGAAGGUCCUGAGUUCAAAUCCUAGCAACCACAUGGUGGCUCACAACCAUCUGUAGUAAGAUCUGUCACCCUCUUCUGGUGUCUGAAGACAGCUACAGUGUACUUACAUACAAUAAUAAAUAAAUCUAAAAAAUAAUUAAAAAAAAAAACAAACCCAAAGUAGGUCUGGCAUGGUGGACAGCAUAGACCAGCCUGGACUAUGCAGUGAGACCAUGUUUCAAGACAAUACUGGUCAGCAAGAUGGCUCAGUGGGUCAUUUUCCUACCAUUGAGUUGUUACUACAUUUUUCUCUCGCAGGUGUGCACCACCACACCUGCCUCAGGGUUUCACAUCUUCCUCUCAAGUUGUUGGUAAACAGAUUUGCUCUCAGUGCAUCAACCAGCCAGAUAAUUAUUUUCUUUUGGUUUAAGGUAAAUAACAAAUUGCUUUUUGUGAAGAUUGCAUCCUGUAGUUGGGUGUGGCUGUGCAUCAUCUCAGCAUUUCGGCAGAGGCAGGAGGAUUGCUGCAAGUUCUAGGCCGACCAGCCCAACCAGCUACAGAGAGACCUUGCUCUCUCCC
rnacentral:lncRNA from 1 species